rnacentral:rRNA from 1 species
GUGAGGAAUAUUGCACAAUGGGCGAAAGCCUGAUGCAGCAACGCCGCGUGAGUGAUGAAGGCCUUUGGGUCGUAAAACUCUGUCCUUGGGGAAGAAAAAAAUGACGGUACCCUUGGAGGAAGCCCCGGCUAACUACGUGCCAGCAGCCGCGGUAAUACGUAGGGGGCGAGCGUUAUCCGGAAUUAUUGGGCGUAAAGAGUGCGUAGGUGGUUUUGUAAGCGUAGGGUGAAAGGCAGUAGCUCAACUAUUGUUAGCCCUGCGAACUGUGAGACUUGAGUGCAGGAGAGGAAAGUGGAAUUCCUAGUGUAGCGGUGAAAUGCGUAGAUAUUAGGAGGAACACCAGUGGCGAAGGCGACUUUCUGGACUGUAACUGACACUGAGGCACGAAAGCGUGGGUAGCAAACAGGAUUAGAAACCCGGGUAGUCC